AUGUUAAGGACUUUGAUGCAAAGGAGUGAGGCACUUUUGAGUAUGUGGUUUCUUUUUAAAUGCAAAGAUCUUUUAAACUUUAUGAGAUCUCAGACUAGGUGGCUCGGAGAAGGAAAUCCUUAUUUUAAUACCAAUGUUAAGAAGAGAAGGAGAAAAUACUCUACUGGCCCUCCAUGUGGAUAUGAGAAGGUGGAGGGGGUCACAAAAGUUUGA